UACUCAUUUUAACUCUAUUCAACACGAGAACUGAGUGAAGCAAAAACAAAGGAAUCUAUUCUGUAUAAUUUUGAUAGGGCUUCAGGAUGACUGUGUCAUUGGUUGUGUUUAUCUUCAUCUGUAAAUGCAUCAGCAGCUGUAAGGUUUCCACUCUGUCUGUGCAUGACAGUAAUAUUUCAGGUCAAGUUCCACAGAUUUUGUAUCCGUCCAAUAACACUAUAGAAGCAUUGAUUGGCUCAAAACUAGAUAUAACUUGCACAGUAAUGGUCGACCUUCAUUCAAGGAUUGAAACAUUGGUGUACUGGCUAGCUAACCGCAGUUAUAUUGAAGACUACAGCAAAAACACUAGAGUUAAAGAAAUUCGCAGUGAAAGAAGAGAAAAAGAAGCAUAUUAUAUUGAUGCGCACCUGAAUUUUUCAGAGAUUAAAACAAAGGACUUUGAAAUAAAUUUUUUAUGUGUUGUCUUAAGUGAAGACAUUGAACGAGUAAGCUUCGUUUUCAUCAAGCCAGCUGUUUCAAAUGCUUCAUCAGAUUUUGCGGUUGGUCUGGCUGUGCUGAUUGGUAUCAUUAUAGUGAGUAUUUGCAUGUAUAAGUUUGUAAAAUCCAAGCAUCCACUGAGAUAUGCAAUCCUGAAGUGAACACUAUUGCAGCAACUUGAAACCACGCAAUGGAUUUCACUGGUGAAAUGUUGAAAUAUGUCGUGCAACCCUAUUUCCAGGAUUUUCUGUUUUCAGCAUGUUAAAUGAUCUAUUUUGUCUGACAUGUACCUGGAAUUUAAGUGCAUGUUUAGUAACCAAUUGCAUAAGCUUGUGAAGAUUAAUUUAUUUCUGAGGUUUUGUCUUUAAUUUUUAAAUUACAGGUUGAAUGUACUAUAUAUUACUUCUUGCUGCUUAACAUACAUAAUAUUCAUAAAUCUGUUCCUUUGAAGCAUCAGUCACCUUAAAAUGCCACCUUGACAUUCUUGUUAAAGCACUUGCUGCAUUAUGGCUGAGCAGAUAGCAAAACUUGAAUUUUAUGGAUUCUGAACACUCAAACUCAUGAAAAUUUCUAUUGGGAUCUCAUGAGAAAAUGGUCCCAAUGGUCACUUACUGCAAUUGUGCUUCUGUUCUUCGAAUUUUCUUCCUAUAAUUUCAUUAGGUGGUAAAUUAUGAGUUGGUAAUUAGGAAAUAGAAAAUCCAUGCUAUUACAUUGGUAAUUACAGCCAUUAUGCAUGCUGCAUUGUAACAGAAUGUUGAAGUAAUGCUAUGUUUUGAGAAAUUUUUUUUUCUGUUUUCACAUACUUUUGCAUUCUAUGUUGCUAUUUGACAUUAGUUACAGAAGUGAGAUUAUGCAUGUAUUCCCCUCAAUUGUCAUGAUUUUUACUUCAUGGACAUCAAAAUAAUAAGCCCUUACAAAAAGCACCAAGCUUAACAUGUUGUCAUUAUACUAUAUUAUUGUUUGGACUCAUUAAAAUGGAUACAUUAUUAGCUUUCAUUCCAUAUUUUGGUCCAAUAGUUGUUGAAACAGAUGUCUUCAAGUUUAUUAACUACUAACAUUGCUGUAAGAACUCAGGCUUAAACAUUAUCUGGGCUCUGUGCCUAUUGCUGUUAAUGCAACUACAGAUGUUGCCCCUGUUUUGAGAGACCAAUGCCAAGAAUUAAGUGUUGAUUUAAGGCCAAGACCCGUGGACAUAAAUCUUGGCUGGAAUUGAGUGGAGUAUUGAGCAAAUAUUACAUAUGAGAAGACCGAGAAGAUGGAUAGAAAAAUACCAGCUGGGUCAUCAACCAUAAACCAUUCAGGCUUAUAUUGCAAAUAAAUUAUGCCAUUAUUCUCAUAAGGUAUAAAUC